UCAACAAGACGGAAGAAUUGUAAACCGGAAGAUACAGUGUCCUGCCAGAGAGCACUCGUCAUCACACGUUUUCAGUGUUUGAAGAGAGGAUCAAGAUACAGAUUUAAGACAAAAGGCAUCAAUUACGAUCGUUUAAAUAACUUGCCCAGAGCACAGCAUCUCGUGUACAGCCUGAAGUUUUUAGCUAUCAAGAUUUCUAGAGACUCCAGAAUGAAAACCAAGCCCUGCACUGCCAAAAAUGA